ensembl:lncRNA
CUGUGCAGCUGUGCCACUGCAGCACCGCUCUUCCUGAGAGGAGAUGUUUCUUCCUGUCCAACCUGAACCCCUCCUGGUGCAACAUGAGGCCAUUCCUUCUUGUCCUAUCACUGUUACCUUGUAGCAGAGGCCGACUCCCACCUCACCGCAACAUCCUUUCAGGUCAUUGUAGAGAGUGAUGAGGUCUCCCCUGAGCUCCCCCAGCCUGAACAACCCCAGUUCCCUCAGCCACUCCCCAUCAGAGCUGUGCUCCAGACCCCUCACAGCUCCGCUGCCCUUCUCUGGACACACUCCAGGGCCUCCAUGUCUUUCUUGCAGUGAGGGGCCCAGAACUGAACACAGCACUCGAGGUGCAGCCUCACCAGAGCUGAGUACAGAGGGACGGUCACCUCCCUGCCCCUGCUGGCUGCUCUAUUGCUGAUACAAACCAGGAUGCCAUUGGCCUUUUAGGCCACCUGGGCACACUGCUGGCUCAUGUUCAGCUUUUCAUCCCCCAGCACCCCCAUGUCCUUCUCUGCAGAGCUACUCUCAACAAUUUCUUCUCCCAGUCCGUAUUCUUAUUGUGGGAUUGCUCUGACCCAGAUGCAGCACCUUGCAUUUGGCCUUGUAGAACCUCAUUAGGUUCUCAUGGGCCCGAAAUCUCAAUCUGAAAUUAAGACAGCUGAAGGAAAAUCCAGCUCUGAGAUCACACUUUCUACUCCCAGGCCACCAAGUGUGAUGCCUGGGUCUCCAUCAGGGCACAUCCUUGUCACACAGGACAGGUCCAGGGCCAGAUUGUUCACACGGUGUCCCGUUGGUGUGUACGUGAAACGUCCUGCCAGCAGCUGCAGGGUGAAGGCAGCCCCACUCACCCAACACCCAUCCAUCCAAGCAGAGCCCAGGGCUGUUGUUUCCCUGACAGCGCUGGGAGGACAAUGCUGCAGUGAUCAUUUCUCUUCCCUUUGCCUUCACCGCCGCCGGUGACAGAAACCGAACGCUGCCUCCUGUCCCCUCGCUCCACGACAGCCACAGCCUUCCUGCAGUCGGGGCCGAUUCCUUCUCCUUUUUCUCCUUUGCAGGCAUGGGCCUCUUGCAACGAGGCAUUAAAACCAUCGAGAG